rnacentral:lncRNA from 1 species
AUUCAUAUCAAAUAAAGCUCUGAAUUUUCUUUUGACAAAAUUGCAAGACUUUUAGGAGCUCUCUGCUAAGCACAUAGGACAAACACCAAACAUUUAUUAUCAUACCACAAAAUCUCAUACCAAUUAGAAGUCAUUCCACAUUUCCCCUUCUCUAGCAAAUACUAAUCUACAUUUUGUUUCUAUAGAUUUGCCUAUUUUGGACACUUCUAACAAAGAGUCAUGUAAUAUGUAGUCUAUAAUAUGUCUAUAAUAUGUAGAAAGCCUGCUUCUUUCAUUUAGUAUAAUGUUUUCAAGGUUCAUCUAUGUUAUAGCACAAUCAGUACUUCAUUCCUCUUUUUGGCAAAAUAUUCCUUAGUAUGGAUAUAACACAUUUUGUUUACCCAACUGUCAGUUGAUAAAUAUUUGGACUGUGUCCACCUUUUCGUUAUUAAAAGAAAUGCUACUUGAAUAUGAGUGUAAAAUUUUGAUGAAAUUAAUAUGUAUAUUUUUCCUUUACACUUGUGCUUUUAGUAUCAAACCCAGGAAACAAUUAUCUAAUCCAAGGUCUCAAAUGUUUAGUCUAUGUUUUCUUCUAACAAUUUCAUAGUUUGAGGUCUUAUAUCUAGGUCUUUGACCCAUUUUGAGUUAAAUUUUUGUAUAUAAUGUGAGGUAAGGGUCCAACUUUUUUUUUAUGCAUAUAGAUUUCCAGUUGUCCCAGCACAAAUCUGGACUCACUGAUCUUAUAUCAAUCUUCAUAUAGUCUCACACUGUUUUGACUACUAUUACUUUGACGUAAAUUUUGAAGUUAAGAAGUGUCUCUGCUCUUUGUUCUUUUCCAACAUUGUUUCACUAUUCUGGGCCCCUUUUCUUUCCAUAUAAAUUAAAGGAUUAUCCUGUCAAUUUUACAAAAAAAAAAAAAAGUCAUUUUGGAUUUAAAAGGGAUUACAUCAAUUCUCGAUCAAUUUAGAAAGGAUUUCCAUCUUAACAAUAUUAAGUCUUCUAAUCCAUGUAUUUCUAUUAUUUAGGUCUUUUUUCAUUUUUUCAAUGAUGUUUUAUAGUCUUCAAUGUAUAAGUCGCACACUUAUUUAUUCCUAAAUGUUUUAUCUUUUUUAUGUUACAAUAAACAAAAAUGUCUUAAUUUCAUUUUUGGAUUAUUCAUUGCUAAGUGAACAGAGUUUUGCAUAUUGAUUUUGUAUACUACAACCUUGCUGAACUCAUUUAUUCUGAUAUUCUGAUAUUUGUACGUGUUUGCACUCCUUAGGAUUUUCUAUAUACAACAUUGUCAUCUGUGAAUAUAGGUAAUUUUAUUACUUCCUUUCCAAUCUGGAUGACUUAUAUAUUUUUUUUUUUUAUCUAAUUGUCCUAGUUUGUUCCUUUAGUACAAUGGUGAAUAGAAAUUAUUAGAGUGGACAUCACUAUCUUAUUCCUAAUCUUAGGAGUAAAAUUACCAGUCUUUUACCAUUAAGUGAAUGUUAGCCUUGUAUUUUUCAUAGAUGUCCUUUAUAAAAUUGAAGAUAUUUCCUGUAUUUCUACUAUGUUGAGUAUUUUUAUCAUGAAAGUGUGCUUGAUUUUCUUCAAAUGCUUUUUCUGUAUCUUCUGAGGUGAUCACAGGUCUUUAUGUUUAUUUUGAGUAUAAUAUGGUUUAUUAUACUGAUUGGUGAAUCAGCCUUGCAUUCCUGAAAUAAACUCCACUUAAUCACAGUGUAUAAUCUUUUUUAUAUGUCUGCUUAACCAUGUUAUUGAGGAAUUUUGGGCUUCACAUCCACAAAGUUAUCAGUCUGUAGUUUUCUUUUCUUGCAACAUCUUUAUCUGGUUUUAAUAUCAGAGUAAUAAUGGUUUCAUAAAAUUAUUUGGAAAUCUUUUCUUCCUCUUCUACCAUUUAUAAAAUAAGAGAAAAUGUUUAAAAAAGCUUUACAAGAUUUUACAUAGUUAUUCAAGAUUCAGAUUUUGAGCAGGGGUGGUGGGGUGAGGGGUGGGGAGGAGAUAAUUAUAGAAAAUAUUUGCAGGAGCAUAGACCUCUACAUUUGGCCAUGGUAUAGAAACUAGCAUUGGACUUAUCCUUCACUAUAAACCAUUACAAAGCUGGGCAAAAUAUAUGAUUUACGCUUUUAUAAACUGAACAGCCAGUAGUAAAAAGAGAAGCAUAUCAGGGAAGCUUUGGGUUUUUUCUAUACCAUAGUGCAGUGAGGAAGAGCUGCAGUAGAAAGUAUAAGCCUCAUUGAGCUGACAAGGCAAAAAUUGGAGGUUGAGUUAUUGAAGCAACUGGAAUUUAUGGGACAGGAUUCUUGGAGGAGAGAGUUGUGAUGAGGAGGUUACACAGAAAUAUAAAUAGGAGUUCCCUUGGUGUUUGGCCA